GGGGAAUUUUCCGCAAUGGGCGAAAGCCUGACGGAGCAAUACCGCGUGAGGGAGGAAGGCUCUUGGGUUGUAAACCUCUUUUCUCAGGGAAGAACACAAUGACGGUACCUGAGGAAUCAGCAUCGGCUAACUCCGUGCCAGCAGCCGCGGUAAUACGGAGGAUGCAAGCGUUAUCCGGAAUGAUUGGGCGUAAAGCGUCCGCAGGUGGCUGUGUAAGUCUGCUGUCAAAGAGCGAAGCUCAACUUCGUAAAGGCAGUGGAAACUACACGGCUAGAGUGCGUUCGGGGCAGAGGGAAUUCCUGGUGUAGCGGUGAAAUGCGUAGAGAUCAGGAAGAACACCGGUGGCGAAGGCGCUCUGCUAGGCCGCAACUGACACUGAGGGACGAAAGCUAGGGGAGCGAAUGGGAUUAGAUACCCCAGUAGUCCUAGCUGUAAACGAUGGAUACUAGGCGUGGCUUGUAUCGACCCGAGCCGUGCCGUAGCUAACGCGUUAAGUAUCCCGCCUGGGGAGUACGCACGCAAGUGUGAAACUCAAAGGAAUUGACGGGGGCCCGCACAAGCGGUGGAGUAUGUGGUUUAAUUCGAUGCAACGCGAAGAACCUUACCAAGGCUUGACAUGUCGCGAAUCUGAUUGAAAGGUCAGAGUGCCUUCGGGAGCGCGAACACAGGUGGUGCAUGGCUGUCGUCAGCUCGUGUCGUGAGAUGUUGGGUUAAGUCCCGCAACGAGCGCAACCCUCGUUUUUAGUUGCCAGCAUUAAGUUGGGCACUCUAGAGAGACUGCCGGUGACAAACCGGAGGAAGGUGGGGAUGACGUCAAGUCAGCAUGCCCCUUACGCCUUGGGCUACACACGUACUACAAUGCUACGGACAGAGGGCAGCAAGCUAGCGAUAGCAAGCUAAUCCCAUAAACCGUGGCUCAGUUCAGAUCGAAGGCUGCAACUCGCCUUCGUGAAGGAGGAAUCGCUAGUAAUUGCAGGUCAGCAUACUGCAGUGAAUUCGUUCCCGGGCCUUGUACACACCGCCCGUCACACCAUGGAAGCUGGCAACGCCCGAAGUCAUUACUCUAACCAUUCGUGGGGGAGGAUGCCUAAGGCAGUGCUGGUGACUGGGGUGAAGUCGUAACAAGGUAGCCGUACCGGAAGGUGUGGCUGGAUCACCUCCU
rnacentral:rRNA from 1 species